AACGAACGCUGGCGGCAGGCCUAACACAUGCAAGUCGAACGCCCGUAGCAAUACGGGAGUGGCAGACGGGUGAGUAACGCGUGGGAACGUGCCCUUCGGUUCGGAAUAACUCAGGGAAACUUGAGCUAAUACCGGAUACGUCCGUAAGGAGAAAGAUUUAUCGCCGAAGGAUCGGCCCGCGUCGGAUUAGCUAGUUGGUGAGGUAACGGCCCACCAAGGCGACGAUCCGUAGCUGGUCUGAGAGGANGAUCAGCCACACUGGGACUGAGACCACGGCCCAGACUCCUACGGGAGGCAGCAGGUGGGGAAUCUUGCGCAAUGGGCGGAAGCCUGACGCAGCAACGCCGCGUGUGGGAAGA
rnacentral:rRNA from 1 species